rnacentral:rRNA from 1 species
AUUGAACGCUGGCGGCAUGCCUUACACAUGCAAGUCGAACGGCAGCACGGGUGCUUGCACCUGGUGGCGAGUGGCGAACGGGUGAGUAAUACAUCGGAACAUGUCCUGUAGUGGGGGAUAGCCCGGCGAAAGCCGGAUUAAUACCGCAUACGAUCUACGGAUGGAAGCGGGGGACCUUCGGGCCUCGCGCUAUGGGGUUGGCCGAUGGCUGAUUAGCUAGUUGGUGGGGUAAAGGCCUACCAAGGCGACGAUCAGUAGCUGGUCUGAGAGGACGACCAGCCACACUGGGACUGAGACACGGCCCAGACUCCUACGGGAGGCAGCAGUGGGGAAUUUUGGACAAUGGGCGAAAGCCUGAUCCAGCAAUGCCGCGUGUGUGAAGAAGGCCUUCGGGUUGUAAAGCACUUUUGUCCGGAAAGAAAUCCUUGGCCCUAAUACGGUCGGGGGAUGACGGUACCGGAAGAAUAAGCACCGGCUAACUACGUG